UAAUACGUAGGCAGCAAGCGUUGUUCGGAAUUACUGGGCGUAAAGAGUGCGUAGGUGGUUGGCCAAGUUUGGUGUGAAAUCUCCCGGCUUAACUGGGAGGGUGCGCCGAAAACUGGUUGACUAGAGUGUGGGAGAGGGACGUGGAAUUCCUGGUGUAGCGGUGAAAUGCGUAGAUAUCAGGAGGAACACCUGCGGUGUAGACGGCGUCCUGGACCAUGACUGACACUGAGGCACGAAAGCGUGGGGAGCAAACAGGAUUAGAUACCCUGGUAGUCCACGCCCUAAACGAUGCAAACUUGGUGUGCGCCCUUCAUUGGGUGCGUGCCGUAGCUAACGCGUUAAGUUUGCCGCCUGGGGAGUACGGUCGCAAGGCUGAAACUUAAAUGAAUUGACGG
rnacentral:rRNA from 1 species